ACGGAAGGCAGCAGUGGGGAAUAUUGCACAAUGGGCGCAAGCCUGAUGCAGCAACGCCGCGUGAGGGAAGACGGUCUUCGGAUUGUAAACCUUUGUCCUUGGUGAAGAAGAAAGUGACGGUAGCCAAGGAGGAAGCCACGGCUAACUACGUGCCAGCAGCCGCGGUAAUACGUAGGUGGCAAGCGUUGUCCGGAAUUACUGGGUGUAAAGGGAGCGCAGGCGGGACAGCAAGUUGGAUGUGAAAUACCGAGGCUUAACCACGGAGCUGCAUCCAAGACUGUUGUUCUUGAGUGAAGUAGAGGUAGGCGGAAUUCCGAGUGUAGCGGUGAAAUGCGUAGAUACUCGGAGGAGCACCAGUGGCGAAGGCGGCUUGCUGGACGACAACUGACGCUGAGGCGCGAAAGCGUGGGGAGCAAACAGGAUUAGAUACCCUGGUA
rnacentral:rRNA from 1 species